UUCUGGAAGGAUUGACAGAUUAAGAGCUCUUUCUUGAUUUGGUGGAUGGUGGUGCAUGUCUGUUCAUAGUUGGUGGAGUGAUUUGUCUGGUUAAUUCCGAUAACGAACGAGAGUUUAGCCUAUUAAACAUAGUUGCGUGGUUCUCCGCGCCUUGUACCCUUCUUAGAGGGACAAGCGGCUCUUAUAGCCGCACGAAACAGAGCAAUAACAGGUCUGUGACGCCCUUA
rnacentral:rRNA from 1 species